rnacentral:rRNA from 1 species
ACCUACGGGGCGCAGCAGUCGAGAAUCAUUCACAAUGGGGGAAACCCUGAUGGUGCGACGCCGCGGGGGGGAAUGAAGGUCUUCGGAUUGUAAACCCCUGUCAUGUGGGAGCAAAUUAAAAAGUUAGUACCACAAGAGGAAGAGACGGCUAACUCUGUGCCAGAAGCAGCGGUAAUGCAGAGGUCUCAGGCGUUGUUCGGAAUCAGUGGGCGUAAAGCGGGCGUAGGCUGUUUCGUAAGUCGUGUGUGAACGGCGCGGGCUCAACCCGCGGACGGCACAUGACACUGCG